rnacentral:rRNA from 1 species
UACGAAGGGGGCUAGCGUUGCUCGGAAUCACUGGGCGUAAAGCGCACGUAGGCGGCUUUUUAAGUCAGGGGUGAAAUCCUGGAGCUCAACUCCAGAACUGCCUUUGAUACUGGAAAGCUUGAGUCCGGAAGAGGUGAGUGGAACUCCGAGUGUAGAGGUGAAAUUCGUAGAUAUUCGGAAGAACACCAGUGGCGAAGGCGGCUCACUGGUCCGGUACUGACGCUGAGGUGCGAAAGCGUGGGGAGCAAACAGG